CACUGCCGAGAAAAGCCUCUAGAUAGAAAAUAGGUGCCCGUACCGCAAACCGACACAGGUAGUCAAGAUGAGAAUUCUAAGGUGAGCGAGCGAACUCUCGUUAAGGAACUCGGCAAAAUGACCCCGUAACUUCGGGAGAAGGGGUGCUCUUUAGGGUUAACGCCCAGAAGAGCCGCAGUGAAUAGGCCCAAGCGACUGUUUAUCAAAAACACAGGUCUCUGCUAAACCGUAAGGUGAUGUAUAGGGGCUGACGCCUGCCCGGUGCUGGAAGGUUAAGAGGAGUGGUUAGCUUCUGCGAAGCUACGAAUCGAAGCCCCAGUAAACGGCGGCCGUAACUAUAACGGUCCUAAGGUAGCGAAAUUCCUUGUCGGGUAAGUUCCGACCCGCACGAAAGGCGUAACGAUUUGGGCACUGUCUCAACGAGAGACUCGGUGAAAUCAUAGUACCUGUGAAGAUGCAGGUUACCCGCGACAGGACGGAAAGACCCCGUGGAGCUUUACUGUAGCCUGAUAUUGAAAUUCGGCACAGCUUGUACAGGAUAGGUAGGAGCCUUUGAAACGUGAGCGCUAGCUUACGUGGAGGCGCUGGUGGGAUACUACCCUAGCUGUGUUGGCUUUCUAACCCGCACCACUUAUCGUGGUGGGAGACAGUGUCAGGCGGGCAGUUUGACUGGGGCGGUCGCCUCCUAAAAGGUAACGGAGGCGCUCAAAGGUUCCCUCAGAAUGGUUGGAAAUCAUUCAUAGAGUGUAAAGGCAUAAGGGAGCUUGACUGCGAGACCUACAAGUCGAGCAGGGUCGAAAGACGGACUUA
rnacentral:rRNA from 1 species